rnacentral:rRNA from 1 species
AGAGUUUGAUCCUGGCUCAGGACGAACGCUGGCGGCGUGCUUUACACAUGCAAGUCGAACGUUAAGGUCCUUCGGGGUACACGAGUGGCGAACGGGUGAGUAACGCGUGAGUAACCUGCCCUUCACUCUGGGAUAACAGUUGGAAACGGCUGCUAAUACCGGAUAUUCAGCUCCUGUCGCAUGGUGGGGGUUGGAAAGUUUUGGUGGUGGAGGAUGGGCUCGCGUCCUAUCAGCUUGUUGGUGGGGUGAUGGCCUACCAAGGCGUCGACGGGUAGCCGGCCUGAGAGGGCGACCAGCCACACUGGGACUGAGAUACGGCCCAAACUCCUACGGGAGGCAGCAGUGGGGAAUUUUGGACAAUGGGCGGAAGCCUGAUGCAGCAACGCCGCGUGCGGGAUGACGGCCUUCGGGUUGUAAACCGCUUUCAGCAGGGACGAAGCGUGAGUGACGGUACCUGCAGAAGAAGCACCGGCUAACUACGUGCCAGCAGCCGCGGUAAUACGUAGGGUGCAAGCGUUGUCCGGAUUUAUUGGGCGUAAAGCGCUUGUAGGCGGUUGGUUGCGUCGAAAGUGCAAACUCAGGGCUUAACUCUGAGCCUGCUUUCGAUACGGGCUGACUGGAGGAAGGUAGGGGAGAAUGGAAUUCCCGGUGGAGCGGUGGAAUGCGCAGAUAUCGGGAGGAACACCAGUGGCGAAGGCGGGUUCUCUGGACCUUUUCCUGUCGCUGAGAAGCGAAAGCGUGGGGAGCAAACAGGCUUAGAUACCCUGGUAGUCCACGCUGUAAACGGUGGGUACUAGGUGUGGGGGACAUUCCACGUUCUCUGUGCCGUAGCUAACGCAUUAAGUACCCCGCCUGGGGAGUACGGCCGCAAGGCUAAAACUCAAAGGAAUUGACGGGGCCCCGCACAAGCGGCGGAGCAUGCGGAUUAAUUCGAUGCAACGCGAAAAACCUUACCUGGGUUUGACAUAUAUCGGAAACGUUCAGAGAUGGGCGCCCCGUAAGGUCGGUAUACAGGUGCUGCAUGGCUGUCGUCAGCUCGUGUCGUGAGAUGUUGGGUUAAGUCCCGCAACGAGCGCAACCCUCGUCCAAUGUUGCCAGCGGGUUAUGCCGGGGACUCAUUGGAGACCGCCGGGGUCAACUCGGAGGAAGGUGGGGAUGACGUCAAGUCCUCAUGGCCCUUAUGUCCAGGGCUUCACGCAUGCUACAAUGGCCGGUACAAAGAGUUGCGAGCCUGUGAGGGUGAGCGAAUCUCAAAAAGCCGGUCUCAGUUCGGAUUGGGGUCUGCAACUCGACCCCAUGAAGUCGGAGUCGCUAGUAAUCGCAGAUCAGCAACGCUGCGGUGAAUACGUUCCCGGGUCUUGUACACACCGCCCGUCAAGUCAUGAAAGUCGGUAACACCCGAAGCCGGUGGCCUAACCCGUUUGGGGGGGAGCUGUCGAAGGUGGGACUGGUAAUUAGGACUAAGUCGUAACAAGGUAACCGUA